AUCUGGCACCUUCGGUGCUCCGAGAUUGUAAUUUGAAGAUUGUAACCUUGGGGUUGGCUCUUGUCUAUGUUUCUUGGAACAGGACGUCACAGAGGGUGAGAAUCCCGUGCGAUGAGAUGCCCAAUCCUAUGUAAGGUGCUUUCGAAGAGUCGAGUUGUUUGGGAAUGCAGCUCUAAGUGGGUGGUAAAUUCCAUCUAAAGCUAAAUAUUGGCGAGAGACCGAUAGCGAACAAGUACAGUGAUGGAAAGAUGAAAAGAACUUUGAAAAGAGAGUGAAAAAGUACGUGAAAUUGUUGAAAGGGAAGGGUUUGAGAUCAGACUCGAUAUUUUGUGAGCCUUGCCUUCGUGGCGGGGUGACCCGCAGCUUAUCGGGCCAGCAUCGGUUUGGGCGGUAGGAUAAUGGCGUAGGAAUGUGACUUUGCUUCGGUGAAGUGUUAUAGCCUGCGUUGAUGCUGCCUGCCUAGACCGAGGACUGCGAUUUUAUCAAAGGAUGCUGGCAUAAUGAUCCCAAAC
rnacentral:rRNA from 1 species